rnacentral:tRNA from 1 species
CGAGUGGUGAAAUUGGUAUACACGACGGAUUCAAAAUCCGUUUCCUUCGGGAGUGUCGGUUCAAGUCCGACCUCGGGCACCA